rnacentral:rRNA from 1 species
AUUGAACGCUGGCGGCAGGCUUAACACAUGCAAGUCGAACGAGUGGCGGACGGGUGAGUAAUGCUUGGGAAUCUCGCCUAUGGAGGGGGAUAACUACGGGAAACUGUAGCAAAUACCGCGUACCAUAGGAUGAGCCCAGUUGGGCUUAGGUAGUGGGUGAGGUAAAGGCUCACCAAGCCGACGAUCGCUAGCUGGUCUGAGAGGAUGACCAGCCACACUGGGACGGAGAAACGGCCCAGACUCCUACGGAAGGCAGCAGUGGGGAAUAUUGCGCAAUGGGGGCAACCUGACGCAGCAAGGCCGCGGGAAGGAAGAAGGCCUUCGGGUUGUAAAGUUCUUUCGGUAGCGAGGCGGUAACUACAGAAGAAGCACCGGCUAACUCCGUGCCAGCAGCCGCGGUAAUUC